rnacentral:other from 1 species
AAAAUCCUGAAGUGUUUGUUAAGGUAUUAUAAUUCAACCUACAAAGUGACAUUGGGAAUUCGAGUUUUUGACAGCCUAUGUCAAGCCUCCGUUGCAGUGGAAGACAGAAGCGGAAACAGAGUACCCCCCUAUCAAUGAUAGGGUGUGAAUUAUAACCUGACGGCAUGUUGGGAUUUUU